GCUUUCUCAGUAUAAAUCUGUACAACUGCCUUCCAAGCAGUAAGUUUGGGGUCCAAAGAAAGUA
rnacentral:tRNA from 1 species